rnacentral:pre_miRNA from 1 species
ACCACCCAGGGAUCUUGUUAAAAUGAAGAUCCUGGUUCAGGUGAUCUGGAGUGGGACCUGAGAUUUUGCAUUUGUAACAAGCUCCCAGGUGAGGCUGA